AGGGCACCACCAGGAGUGGAGCCUGCGGCUUAAUUUGACUCAACACGGGGAAACUUACCCGGCCUGGACACUGGAAGGAUUGACAGAUUGAGAGCUCUUUCUUGAUUCAGUGGGUGGUGGUGCAUGGCCGUUCUUAGUUGGUGGAGCGAUUUGUCUGGUUAAUUCCGAUAACGAACGAGACUCUAGCCUAUUAAAUAGGCUCCCGGCUUUUAAACGCCGGGAGGACUUCUUAGAGGGACAGGUGGCGGUUCAGCCGCACGAAAGAGAGCAAUAACAGGUCUGUGAUGCCCUUUGUUGUCCGGGGCCGCACGCGCGCUACACUGAAGAGAUCAGCGUGCUUUAUGUUCCUGCUCCGACCGGAGUGGGGAACCCAGUGAACCUUCUUCGUGAUUGGGAUAGAAGAUUGUAAUUAUUCUUCUUGAACGAGGAAUUCCCAGUAAAUGCGAGUCAUAAGCUCGCGUUGAUUACGUCCCUGCCCUUUGCACACACCGCCCGUCGCUACUACCGAUUGAACGAUUU
rnacentral:rRNA from 1 species